rnacentral:rRNA from 1 species
UACGUAGGGGGCGAGCGUUAUCCGGAUUCACUGGGUGUAAAGGGAGCGUAGACGGCCAUGCAAGCCAGGGGUGAAAGCCCGUGGCCCAACCACGGGACUGCUCUGGAAACUGUGUUGCUGGAGUGCAGGAGGGGUAAGCGGAAUUCCUAGUGUAGCGGUGAAAUGCGUAGAUAUUAGGAGGAACACCGGUGGCGAAGGCGGCUUACUGGACUGUAACUGACGUUGAGGCUCGAAGGCGUGGGGAGCAAACAGG